rnacentral:lncRNA from 1 species
UUUUCUUUUUAUUCUAGAUGGAAGAGUUCUUUUGUCAAUUUGAUACUGACCAAAAAGCAGAAUUUAUGGAAAUAUAACACAACAGUCUCAGGAGAUAGCUGGAGGAGGGUGUGUUGCUGUGAUCUGACAUUUCAUACUGCAGCAUCAGAGAGCUCCUGGAGGACAUGAAUGUCCUGGGCACCAAAGCCCACAUCUCGCCCUCCCACACGAGUGCCUAUCAGCAGGCUGAAGGCCCUUCCUGGGGAGGAGCACUCUCACUUCCAGCCACUUGUCACGAAGAUUUUGUAUCAUGUCAGAGGCAGAAGAUUCACCAUGCCCAUGGGAGCCUACCCCUCCAUCUUGCCUCCCACAUACACCUAAUUUCCUCUGAGAGGGGUGUGAAUAUAUUUUACAGUUUAUUAUUUCAAAUCUACAGCUACAAUCAGCGUUCAAGCAGCAUUUUUCUGAUCAGAAUACUGCAAAGAGCCUCUU